AUCACAAUGCCACGAAAAGUGAUCAGGGGUUACAGCCCGCCAGCAGAACACCCAAAAAUGCAGAGACACCCAGCGGGACACCACUACAAGGGGUACACAAGGGGCAAACAAGGGGCAACAGCGACACAUCACGACUGCACCCGAAAAGGAUAAAGCAGAACUAGGGGGAAGUCACCUACACAGGCACCUCAGCCACCACCUACACACAGCGCUCCAAGGGUGGUGGUGCUUGCAUCAGCCAGAGCUUUGCUUGGCUCACCCGAGCCAUAAUCCAACUUGGCCCACCCUGCCACGGGGCAGGCCCAUGGGGAACGGGGCACGACUUGACUUGCCAGACCUCUUUG
rnacentral:lncRNA from 1 species